AGUGAACGCUGGCGGUAGGCCUAACACAUGCAAGUCGAACGGCAGCACAGGAGAGCUUGCUCUCUGGGUGGCGAGUGGCGGACGGGUGAGGAAUACAUCGGAAUCUACUCUGUCGUGGGGGAUAACGUAGGGAAACUUACGCUAAUACCGCAUACGACCUACGGGUGAAAGCAGGGGAUCUUCGGACCUUGCGCGAUUGAAUGAGCCGAUGUCGGAUUAGCUAGUUGGCGGGGUAAAGGCCCACCAAGGCGGCGAUCCGUAGCUGGUCUGAGAGGAUGAUCAGCCACACUGGAACUGAGACACGGUCCAGACUCCUACGGGAGGCAGCAGUGGGGAGUAUUGGACAAUGGGCGCAAGCCUGAUCCAGCCAUACCGCGUGGGUGAAGAAGGCCUUCGGGUUGUAAAGCCCUUUUGUUGGGAAAGAAAUCCAGCUGGCUAAUACCCGGUUGGGAUGACGGUACCCAAAGAAUAAGCACCGGCUAACUUCGUGCCAGCCGCCGCGGUAA
rnacentral:rRNA from 1 species